ACAUACGACCACAGCCGCUAGAGAAGCUCGGGAUCCCGUCCGAUCUCCUAGGAGAAACUAGCGAGCGCCAGAUUAGUAGUUAGGUCGGAGACGACUAGCGAAUUCCUGGUGUUGUAUGUU
rfam:Metarhizium album ARSEF 1941 scaffold_2, whole genome shotgun sequence.